rnacentral:lncRNA from 1 species
GUUGAGUUGGUGUUGUGUUCAUAGUGUUCUUGUUUGGUUGGUAUUGUGUUUACAGUGUUGUUGUUGGGCUAGUGUUGUGUUCACAUUGUUGGUGUUGGGUAGGUGUUGUGUUCAUAGUGUUCUUGUUGGGUUGGUGCUAUGUUCAGUGUUCUUGUUUGGUUGGUGUUGUGGAUCAAAGUGUUGUUGUUGGGUUGAUGUUGUGUUCAUAGUGUUCUUGUUUGGUUGGUGUUGUGUUCAAAGUGUUGUUGUUGGAUUGGUGCUGUGUUCAUAGUGUUCUUGUUUGGUUGGCAUUGUGUUUACAGUGUUGUUGUUGGGCUAGUGUUGUGUUCACAUUGUUGGUGUUGGGUAGGUGUUGUGUUCAAAGUGUUCUUGUUGGGUUGGUGUUGUGUUCAGUGUUCUUGUUUGGUUGGUGUUGUGUUCGAAGUGUUCUUGUUUGGUUGGUAUUGUGUUUACAGUGUUGUUGUUGGGCAAGUGUUGUGUUCACAUUGUUGGUGUUGGGUAGGUGUUGUGUUCAAAGUGUUCUUGUUUGGUUGGUGUUGUGUUCAGUGUUCUUGUUUGGUUGGUGUUGUGUUCAAAGUGUUGUUGUUGGAUUGAUGUUGUGUUCAUAUUGUUCUUGUUUGGUUGGUGUUGUGUUCACAGUGUUGUUGUUAGGUUGGUCUUGUGUUUACAGUGUUCUUGUUUUAGCUUGUGUUGUGUUCAAAGUGUUGUUGUUGGGUUGGUGUUGUGUUUACAGUGUUGUUUUUGUGUUGGGGUUGUGUUCACAGUGUUGUUGUUGGGUUGGUGUUAUGUUCAGUGUUGUUGUUGGUUGGUGUUGUGUUCACAGUGUUGUUGUUGAGUUGGUGUUGUGUUCAGUGUUGUUGUUGGAUUGGUGUUGUGUUCACAGUGUUGUUGUUGGAUUGGUGUUGUGUUCAGUGUUGUUGUUGGAUUGGUGUUGUGUUCACAGUGUUGUUAUUGGAUUGGUGUUGUGUUUACAGUGUUGUUGUUGGAUUGGUGUUGUGUUCACAGUGUUGUUGUUGGGUUGGUGUUGUGUUUACAGUGUUGUUGUUGGAUUGGUGUUGUGUUCAGUGUUGUUGUUGGGUUGGUGUUG